GGACUACCGGGGUAUCUAAUCCCGCUCGAUACCCAUGCCUUCGCUUUCUCAACGUUAAGAUUCUAAACCAGUUUCCUUCGACAUCGGUAAUCCUUCGCGUAUCAUGCCAUUUCACAGGUCCUCGCGAUGUAUUACAAGUUUCCAAUAUCUUCAACCCUAAUAAUCGACUCUAAAUUUAACACUCCUCUGCGUCCUGACUUUGAAUCUACAUUAGUUCGUCUUAUAGCUUUUACACCCAACUACGCAAAAUAACACUUGGGCUACACGUCUUACCGCGGCUGCUGGCAC
rnacentral:rRNA from 1 species